rnacentral:rRNA from 1 species
AGAGAGAGACAUGCGCGCAUAUCAAUAAGCGGAGGAAAAGAAACUAACAAGGAUUCCCCUAGUAACGGCGAGUGAAGCGGGAAGAGCUCAAAUUUGAAAUCUUAAAGGGUUUCCCUUUACGAAUUGUAGUUUAAAGAAGUGUUUUCUGUUGAGGUUUUGGUAAAAGUUCUUUGGAAUAGGACAUCAUAGAGGGUGAGAAUCCCGUAUUUGACCUUUACUUUCAACUUUGUGAUACACUUUCAAAGAGUCGGAUUGUUUGGGAAUGCAGUCCAAAAUGGGUGGUAAAUUUCAUCUAAAGCUAAAUAUUGGCGAGAGACCGAUAGCGAACAAGUACCGUGAGGGAAAGAUGAAAAGAACUUUGAAAAGAGAGUUAAACAGUACGUGAAAUUGUCAAAAGGGAAGCGUUUGACACCAGUGUUGUUUUUCUGAAAAUCAAUUAAAGAACUGUUUAUGCUAAGCUGUUUAGACUUUAUCAGCUAACUGUUUAGUUUUGAGCUUUUCUUUAAUGCACUUUUCAGUUAACAAGUCAACAUCAAUUUCUUUUGCUGUAAAAAAGCUUGAGGAAGGUGGCUUGAGAUUCGUCUUAAGUGUUUAUAGCCUCUUGCCUAUGCAGUCGGAGAGAUUGAGGUCUGCAGCGUAGAUCCUUCGGGGCUAAAUGCACUUUGUGCUAAGUUAUAGCAUUUUAUAGACAACUUGUUGACUAUGAUUUGUCUUGUAGCUUACUCGCUUAUGUUAUUUUACCUACGCUUAGGAUGUUGAGCGCAUGUCUCUCUCU